UACGAAGGGGGCUAGCGUUGCUCGGAAUCACUGGGCGUAAAGGGCGCGUAGGCGGACUUUUAAGUCGGAGGUGAAAGCCCAGGGCUCAACCCUGGAAUUGCCUUCGAUACUGGGAGUCUUGAGUUCGGAAGAGGUUGGUGGAACUGCGAGUGUAGAGGUGAAAUUCGUAGAUAUUCGCAAGAACACCAGUGGCGAAGGCGGCCAACUGGUCCGAUACUGACGCUGAGGCGCGAAAGCGUGGGGAG
rnacentral:rRNA from 1 species